rnacentral:rRNA from 1 species
GACAGAGGCCCCAAGCGUUAGGCGGAAUCACUGGGCUUAAAGCGUGUGUAGGCGGAUCGUUAAGUGUCUUGUGAAAUCCCACGGCUCACCCGUGGAACUGCUGGGCAUACUGGCGAUCUUGGGCCAACUAGGGGCAGUCGGAACAAGCGGUGGAGCGGUGAAAUGCGUAGAUAUCGCUUGGAACGCCGAAGGUGAAAACAGACCGCUGGGGUUGCGCCGACGCUGAGACACGAAAGCCAGGGGAGCAAACGGG